GAAUUCAACUCCUACGGGAGGCAGCAGUGGGGAAUAUUGCACAAUGGGCGAAAGCCUGAUGCAGCGACGCCGCGUGAGGGAUGACGGCCUUCGGGUUGUAAACCUCUUUCAGUAGGGAAGAAGCGUAAGUGACGGUGCCUGCAGAAGAAGCGCCGGCUAACUACGUGCCAGCAGCCGCGGUAAUACGUAGGGCGCAAGCGUUAUCCGGAAUUAUUGGGCGUAAAGAGCUCGUAGGCGGUUUGUCGCGUCUGCCGUGAAAGUCCGGGGCUCAACUCCGGAUCUGCGGUGGGUACGGGCAGACUAGAGUGAUGUAGGGGAGACUGGAAUUCCUGGUGUAGCGGUGAAAUGCGCAGAUAUCAGGAGGAACACCGAUGGCGAAGGCAGGUCUCUGGGCAUUAACUGACGCUGAGGAGCGAAAGCAUGGGGAGCGAACAGGAUUAGAAACCCCGGUAGUCCAGGCGUU
rnacentral:rRNA from 1 species